rnacentral:rRNA from 1 species
CGUAGGGGGCGAGCGUUGUCCGAAGUUACUGGGCGUAAAGCGCGCGUAGGCGGACUCUUAAGUGAGGGGUGAAAGGUUCAGGGCUCAACCCGAACACUGCCUUUCAUACUGGGAGUCUUGAGUGCGGGAGAGGCGAGUGGAAUGGUCGGUGUAGCGGUGAAAUGCGUAGAUAUCGAUCGGAACACCCAUGGCGAAGGCAGCUCGCUGGCCUGUAACUGACGCUGAGGUGCGAAAGCGUGGGGAGCAAACAGG